rnacentral:rRNA from 1 species
AUGUCCUUCACAAAGAGAUCCAUUGCCACUAUCAUGGUUCUAGUGCUUUCUCUUCAAGCCAUUAUUGACGCCGACUUGUCAUGUAAUCAAGGCUAUGAAUAUAUGUGUUUUCCUGGUUACUGCCAGUGUGAACCGAAAAACAAUCUUCAACUUUGGGGUCGCCAAGCCGUCGUUGAUACCAACAACCUAUCUUGCAAUGUAGGCCUUGCAUAUGUGUGUUAUCCUGGUUACUGCCAGUGUACACCGAAAAACAAUCUUCAACAUGGGGAUCACCAGGCCAUGGUGGCAAGGCCCAAGAAGAGCAACGACAUCUUGCCCCAAUACACCACUGGCAAUGGCAUUGUUCGGCCUUGA